GCGAGGGUUCCAGAGUGGUCAAAUGGGCAGGACUUAAGAUCCUGUGGCUUAGUGCCUUCGUAGGUUCGACUCCUACCCCUCGCA
rnacentral:tRNA from 1 species